rnacentral:rRNA from 1 species
CUUUCUACCAGCAUCCAUUUUCGAGAAAUUGGCUGCUAUGGUUCGAAAGGAAAAAGAAAGGUUGACCGCUGCAGCCGAUUUCGAUGGAUGCUUCUACUUUGAAGCUGGCUUAACCCAAAAUAGAAGCUGCGUCUUCAUUUGGUUUAAGCGGCUGCUUCUAUCGAUCAUUUCCAUUUGAACUGGCACGUUUGAAGGAAAUUGAUCGCUAGUGUCCAACCAACCUUUUUACCCAAUUUUGCCGGCCUUUGCAAAAUUAGGAGGUUGGUAUUGAAAUAGCGUGAAAGGCUAGAGCUGAUUUGGAAUAAGCCUUUCACCUAGCAUAACUCCAUUAGGAUUAUUCCCAAUGAAACUUAUUCAUGAAAUCCAUUUCAAGAUAAGAGUUUCAUUGGCUGCAGCUCUCAAGGGCUUGAAGGAUCUUGUUGCUAUUAUCGCUGGUAUAAUCAAAGGCUAUGGUUAUGCUUGGCUUUUAUCGGUCUUAGCCUCAUUUGUAAUUUAUGGAUAUUCUUUCAUUUUCAGCUUUUAUUUUUGCUAUACUUGUUGCUACUGCUAUUAUGUUAUUUCUUAUACCUUUUAUCUCUUCAGCUAUUUUCAGUCUUAUAUUUUGCUAGCUUAAACUUUGAUACCUUUGAUGCUUUAACUAACUUUGUCUCUUUUUGCUUUACUUUCUGUUACCUUAGAGACCUUUUUCACUUUCUCAUUUUACCGGUCUAUGGGCAUCUUUCCCUUCAUUUUCAUUUUCUUAUGCUAUUCUUCUAGAUUAAGUUUCCUCUUUAUGCUAAUUUCCCGUCUUGUCUAUGCUUAGUUUC